rnacentral:rRNA from 1 species
AACAGGGAUUGCCCUAGUAACGGCGAGUGAAGCGGCAACAGCUCAAAUUUGAAAUCUGGCCCUCUUUGGGGGUCCGAGUUGUAAUUUGCAGAGGGUGCUUUGGCAUUGGCGGCGGUCUAAGUUCCUUGGAACAGGACAUCGCAGAGGGUGAGAAUCCCGUACGUGGGCGCCUGCCUUUGCCGUGUAAAGCCCCUUCGACGAGUCGAGUUGUUUGGGAAUGCAGCUCUAAAUGGGAGGUAAAUUUCUUCUAAAGCUAAAUACCGGCCAAAGACCGAUAGCGCACAAGUAGAGUGAUCGAAAGAUGAAAAGUACUUUGGAAAGAGAGUCAAACAGCACGUGAAAUUGUUAAUAGGGAAGCGCUUGCAGCCAGACUUGCCCGCAGUUGCUCACCCAGGCUCCGGCCCGGGGCACUCUUCUGCGGGCAGGCCAGCAUCAGUUUGGGCGGUCGGAUAAAGGCCUCUGUCACGUAUCUCCCUCCGGGGUGACCUUAUAGGGGAGGCGUAAUGCGACCAGCCCGGACUGAGGUCCGCGCUUCUGCUAGGAUGCUGGCGUAAUGGCUGUAAGCGGCCCGUCUUGAAACACGGACCAAGGAGUCUAACAUCUAUGCGAGUGUUUGGGUGUCAAGCCCGGGCGCGUAAUGAAAGUGAACGGAGGUGGGAACCCCUCGGGGUGCACCAUCGACCGAUCCUGAUGUCUUCGGAUGGAUUUGAGUAAGAGCAUAGCUGUUGGGACCCGAAAGAUGGUGAACUAUGCUUGAAUAGGGUGAAGCCAGAGGAAACUCUGGUGGAGGCUCGCAGCGGUUCUGACGUGCAAAUCGAUCGUCAAAUUUGGGCAUAGGGGCGAAAGACUAAUCGAACCAUCUAGUAGCUGGUUCCUGCCGAAGUUUCCCUCAGGAUA